AGCGUCUCAUCUCGAACACCCUCUCCUUCUGGUUGUGCACACCGAUCUUCCACAGGAAGAGCUUUCUGGACUGACGCUCCAACUACACACACCACAGAUGGAUCGAAAGACAUGAUGUAUUAAGAUUAAACUGUAGAUGUUGACAGCUCCAGUUGCUGUGACGACCAGCACCAUGAGGCCCAGCUUGAUCAGGUGGCUGACCUGCACCAGCAUGGCCGUGGCGAUGAGCGACAUCACGGCCAUGAAGCUGUAGUGCUUUGGAUUCUCUGCGCAGCCUGCAGGGUCGCCGAGAGCCACCAACACGGGCCCAGAGGUGCUGUUGAUGAGUCGGAGGGUCGGCGGGACACAGCUCAGCUAGAACAUCACAGAAGAAGUGCGCGAGUCAUUCAACAAUAAACGUUGUGUCUUAUUGGUUUUUACUUAGCUAGAUUAAAUGUGCUAUAAAUAUAUAAAUUGAAUAUUUAAAUCAA